AUUGAACGCUGGCGGCAGGCCUCACACAUGCAAGUCGAACGAGUGGCGGACGGGUGAGUAAUGUCUGGGAAACUGCCUGAUGGAGGGGGAUAAUCACUGGAAACGGUAGCUAAUACCGCAUACCAUCAGAUGUGCCCAGUUGGGAUUAGCUAGUUGGUGGGGUAACGGCUCACAAAGGCGACGAUCUCUAGCUGGUCUGAGAGGAUGACCAGCCACACUGGAACUGAGACACGGUCCGGACGACUACGGGAGGCAGAAGUGGGGAAUAUUGCACAAUGGGCGAAAGCCGUAUGCAGCCAUGCCGCGUGUAUGAAGAAGGCCUUCGGGUUGUAAAGUACUUUCAGCGGGGAGGCGUUACCCGCAGAAGAAGCACCGGCUAACUCCGUGACAGUAGCCGCGGUAAUUC
rnacentral:rRNA from 1 species